GGGUUGUGAGGUUAAGCGACUAAGCGUACACGGUGGAUGCCCUGGCAGUCAGAGGCGAUGAAGGACGUGCUAAUCUGCGAUAAGCGUCGGUAAGGUGAUAUGAACCGUUAUAACCGGCGAUUUCCGAAUGGGGAAACCCAGUGUGAUUCGUCACACUAUCAUUAACUGAAUCCAUAGGUUAAUGAGGCGAACCGGGGGAACUGAAACAUCUAAGUACCCCGAGGAAAAGAAAUCAACCGAGAUUCCCCCAGUAGCGGCGAGCGAACGGGGAGGAGCCCAGAGCCUGAAUCAGCAUGUGUGUUAGUGGAAGCGU
rnacentral:rRNA from 1 species